GAAAACCCUAGAGAUAGGGCUUCUCCUUCGGGAGCAGAGUGACAGGUGGUGCAUGGUUGUCGUCAGCUCGUGUCGUGAGAUGUUGGGUUAAGUCCCGCAACGAGCGCAACCCUUGAUCUUAGUUGCCAUCAUUAAGUUGGGCACUCUAAGGUGACUGCCGGUGACAAACCGGAGGAAGGUGGGGAUGACGUCAAAUCAUCAUGCCCCUUAUGACCUGGGCUACACACGUGCUACAAUGGACGGUACAAAGAGCUGCAAGACCGCGAGGUGGAGCUAAUCUCAUAAAACCGUUCUCAGUUCGGAUUGUAGGCUGCAACUCGCCUACAUGAAGCUGGAAUCGCUAGUAAUCGCGGAUCAGCAUGCCGCGGUGAAUACGUUCCCGGGCCUUGUACACACCGCCCGUCACACCACGAGAGUUUGUAACACCCGAAGUCGGUGGGGUAACCUUUUUGGAGCCAGCCGCCUAAGGUGGGACAGAUGAUUGGGGUGAAGUCGUAACAAGGUAGC
rnacentral:rRNA from 1 species